rnacentral:misc_RNA from 1 species
GAUGAAGAACGCAGCGAAAUGCGAUAAGUAAUGUGAAUUGCAGAAUUCAGUGAAUCAUCGAAUCUUUGAACGCACAUUGCGCCCGUCAGUAUUCUGGCGGGCAUGCCUGUUCGAGCGUCAUUUGUACCUUCAAGCUCUGCUUGGUGUUGGGUGUUUGUCCCGCUUUUUGCGUGGACUCGCCUCAAAGCAAUUGGCAGCCGGCGUACUAGCCUGGGAGCGCAGCACAUUUUGCGCAUCUCGACUGGAACGCUUGCGUCCAUUAAGCCUACACUUUUGCUCUUGACCUCGGAUCAGGUAGGGAUACCCGCUGAACUUAAGCAUAUCAAUAAGCGGAGGA